GAGUGGUGAGGGGAGAAAUGGAGGGGAGGAGUUCACUGCGGUUUUGUGAGACCAAAGUGUCAAGUGCCUAAUUCAAGCAUUUCCACUUGCUAGUUGUAUGCGGGAUGUGUGUGUGUGUGUGUGUGUGUGUGUGUGUAUGUGUGGUUGUGUGUUUGUCAAUGUGUUUUAACAGGACAAUUGGUCCGAAUACACACCACACUAGAAGGACAUUUUGAAUUAACAGGACAGGAGCAGUGUCCUGCUAAUUUCGACCAAAUUCUAAAAGUGUAGAAUGGUUUCUAUUGGUCUAUUAACCCUAAAAAUGCAAAAAAAACAAGAUGUCCGUUUAAUACAUAUAAACAUGAUUUGUGUGUACAAUCUGUGUAUCACCACAGCGCCCCCUACGGCAGGUUGUGUACUAGCAAGACUUCAUGAAUAUGCACACAGCGUCUUAUGCUGAUUGGUUGUCUGCCGGAAGGUCCUGAUAAUUACUACACUGUCCUUCCAAUUCAAAUCGCUAUUUACACAGGGGAUGAGUUAGCAAUACGAUAAAAGCAAAAUGUAUUAUAAACCAUGUAUCUUGAAAUAUUGAAUGAAAUUAACAAAAUAUUACGUAAGUAAAUUGUUUUCUUCUUCCUGAAUAAAUCAAACAAUAUGCUCUUUAGAAACGAAAAAGGAAUUCUUAUUUUGUCAUACCCCUCCUCUUCUAUCAACGUGGUACAAUCCGUCAAGUUUUGCCGCGAAACAUCAGUACUUUCUAAUUGAACACCUCUCAUCCCUGCAUGCGUGGAGGACGAGGAGAUGGCAGGAACAAGGCCACAGAGAGCGAAAACAAAUCCUAAAGAUGAUGCUAGUUAUUAUUGCUCCUUGGGUAAAGAUAAGGAAGGGUUUGAUGUCAAAUAUAUAAAUUCAUAUAAAGGUGAGUUGUGAGUUUAUUUAGCAAAGGUUUCCCGAGUUCGUACAUACAAGGUUAUAAUCUAUUUUUAAACUGCACAUUAGGAGAAUAGAUCUUGUAAUAUGAUCAGAACAUCUUUCUUAUUUCAAAGGAGACAAUCAACUGCUCAAAAUAGAAGCUGUUAUUUUUUAUAGUUUAUAUUUUAUAUCUUCUUGGGAAGAUAAUUGUAUAUCUAGAUAGAUACUUUAUUUAAUAAUUGUUUAUGGAUUAAUCCACAGAAACAUUUUAGAAAAGUUAAAAAAUAGUUUAACUAAUCACAGAAAGACAUCACAUUAAAUAAAUUAACAGAUUUUGAGAGAGUUAAUAAUCUCAAUUGCUACUAUUUAACAACUCUGCAUUGUUUAAAGUUUAUUAUUGUACUUUGUUUAUUAUAUGUACCUCCAGGUCGGGGUGUGUUCAGCUGCCGGUGCUUUCCAAAGGGAGAUUUCCUUAUUGAGUACAGAGGGGAAGUCAUAAGUAGAAAGGAACAAGAAAACCGAUUGAAAGUUUAUCAUGAUGCACUCAAGGUUUUUAUGUUUGAUUUCCAGUUCAAUGGACAACAGUUAUGUGUUGAUGCUGCCAGAGAGGAUGGAUCAUUAGGGAGACUGGUAAAUGAUGAAGAGGCAAAUCCAAACAGCAAAAUGAAGGUUACAAGAGUGGAUGGAAGACCCUAUCUCUGUUUAUUUGCACUCAAAGAUAUUGGUCCAGGGGAAGAAAUCACUUAUAAUUAUGGUGAUUCUGACUGGCCGUGGAGAAGCAAGAUCUCCAAAGAGAUGCCAUGCCAGGCUGAGGAUGUGGACG